CUCUAGUGAACAGCAGGCUUCAACUGGCACUGCUUGUCCUAUAUAAUCAGAUGCUAACUUAGCACUUUGUUUGGCAGUUCAGAUGAAUUCGCUAGCAGGUUCUUCCAUAGAUAACUUCUACCAUGACUUUUUUCCCUUAAAUUAAAUUCCUCGAUGUGCAAAGGCCCAGUCAAGGCCUGAGGAGCAUUAGACCCACUAGUCUCCAAGCCAUGGGGCUUAAAUAGGAAUUAAGUGGCGUACACAUCUCGUGUCGGCCCCUCUGCGUAUGAAUGAGUUUCAUCCCGGGGGCUAGAUCUCCAGCAGGUGUAAAUCAAUGUUAUUUCCAUUGAUCUACACUGAGGAUCUGGCCCUUGGGGAAUUCUGGGUUUAUGGACUACUGCCGCCUUGCAAAAUUAUCGUGAAAAUGGAGCAGCUUGGGAGCAAAAUCCUACUCGCCAUAAUGAAGGACAAAUCAACAAAUUAUUCUGUUUGCUUGUCAAAGAGACCUCGAAAGUUGAGCAAUUUGCAACUUUGACAACACUGGAUUUGAGAAAAAGUUUUGAUCAUUAUUACUUUUCGUUUGAUUAAAAAAAAGGUUUCCAAAUGUCAACAGCUUUUUUUCCACAAUAAAAAUGUUGACUACUUUCCCCAUGGGCUCACAAUCCAGAGUGGAGUUUUGCAAGGCUACGUGGGGCUGUGUUGCAAACUGGGCAGUAUGUGGGAGGUCUCUGUGGCAGGUUUUAUGUUGCCUCCAUAUGUCAAUCUAAGUUGAAGUCCCCAAUCUGAAACUUAUCUGACCAUCAAAAUCAGAGCACGCCCACCUUGUUACAUUAGCGAUGUAUGGGUAUCAUCCAUCCAUCCGAAGGCUUUGCACGGCCAUGCUUUGAAAUUAAGCAGAAUACAAAGUAUUUCUCAUCAAUUUUAUUUUUCUGUCGCUAUCCUGCAAAUAAACACUUUCUCUCCUGUUGGGAGACUUCCGGUGGAAUGUCAUUUGCAGCUCUCAGUGCAUUCUGUAGUGAAGAGGAUCCGAAAUGGCUAACUCCAUUGACAGGUAUAAAAGACCAUCUGGUACUCAGCCAUCUGACCUGCUCAAACAUCAGUGUAGAACAAACCUGAGGAAAAACCUUUUUGCUCAUUAACUUCAUACCCUAACUCCCAACUUGGCAUGUCUAUCUUGGAGCUGAGAGCUUGGAAAAUAAAAAUGCAACCUGGGUGCAUAUAUAUAUUUUGAGAGAGAAUGGAGACAGACCACCAAUUGACUGGCUAAAUCGGUUACAAAAUGGCAUUAAACUGUGGCACCAAGCAGCUAACAUUUCAAAUAAAUAAAAAGCCAAGAUUCAAAGGUGACCUUCAGAAAUCUGGUGGUGGGACUCUAAAACGUGCAUUGGCUCAACCCAUUUGGAAAUAUGCUUGUGGGACAGUUGGGAUUGCACCAUGGGAAUUGAUGGAGGGGGAUGUGGGGUUUGACAACCGCAUUAGCUUCACCGUUUGGGUGAAAUGAUUUUUGGGUUUGUUUGGGUUUUUUUCGUCUGGGUUAUUCUCUAUUUCCCCACAGACUGUAGAAUCCAGUCAACGCCUCCUGAUUUUCAAAAGACAACCAGAAGAAUGACAAUCUAAGAAAUCAACACCCUCCUUUGUGCUUCUAUAAAUAUGUUUCUGAUCUUUUAAUUUUAUUUCUUGUGCUCCACUGUACUGUUGACAGUUACAUUGUGUAUAAUUUUUUUUAAUUUGGAAUUUUGCGUUGUAUAGGGUUUAGUUUUAAAAAUAUAUAUAUAUUUUUUCCAUUUUUUAAAAAGGGGUGUUGCAAAAAAAAAAAUUGCACGAUUUAAAUGACAAACAGUUCAAAUGCUGCAGUUUUUAGAGAUACGGAAGCAAAACGGAGCUUAUUUAUUCUCAAAAGCUAUAAAAGGUGUAAAAUGCAUGAAGAAAAAAAACAUUUACAAAAAACAAAAACAAACAAAAAAAAAGGACAAAAAAAAGUGUAACCUGAACAAAGCGUAGCGUUAAAAAAAAAAAAAAAUUUAAACGAUGACAACAAUGAAAAACAGCUAAUAUAUUGUGUUUGGCUAGUUUGCUUUUGUUUUUAAUGGUUUCUUUUUUUUUGGAGAAUGAAAUACAAUUGUGUAUAUUUUCAUAUAAGAAGUAUGCACUGAUAUGUUUCAAAAAAAUGAUAUAUUACUUUCUAAAGAUGUGGUUACUUACCAAAGUCUGUUUCUGAUCUUUUCCUUCUUGAAACCUAUGUGGAUCCUUCAACAUACAUACUCUGGGGUGAAAUACAAGGGGCCUAUUUGAAGUUACACUAAGAUCUCUUUACAUUGCUGUGGGAGAGCGGCAGUGGCAUGAUCUUAAAGCCGUUUUACGCUGUCAGAGCAGUGGAAAGAGUCCUUUGUGUAACAGGUUUACUUCUCAAGUGACUCAGAUGUGGGGUUUGCUUUGAUGUGUGGUACCUUCCCUACGAACACCAAAAACGUAGGGCGUAGCCUAGGUUAUGAACAGAUUUUAACCAUAGGUUAAAUGUUCCAUCAAAGACUGUUUUAAUCCAUCAGGAGAACAAAAUUGUCCUUCAAGGAUGGGGCGUGAGACAAAUCAAGACGUGCACUGAGGAUUUCCUGGGUAAAUUAAGAAUCAAACACAACACUGGACUCCUGUUUAAAGUCAUAUUUUGUCGAGCUGAUUCCAGUGCAUGAAAUUGGAUCAGGAGUUUCGUCCGUAUACAUCGGAGAUGGUGCUCCUGGGAGUGGUAGCAUUUUGGUGCCCUGGUUGUUGUUCAUUUCAACCCCUGGGUGUGCUUAUGUUUGGCCACGACAGAGGCCAUUUGACUGCGUUGGGACAGAUUGUGAUCAUGUGUAUGGUUUUUGCAGCCCUAAGGCUUAUGGAAAUUUUAGGCCACUUCAAAAAAUAACGUGAUAUUUCCUGUCAUCCCUUAAGGAAAGAGGUUGGGGUUGAUUCGCCUUUUUCUGAAUAAGGAACUGGGGUGGGAGGCAGGGGGAGCAAAAUUUCAGAGAUCGGUGUAGUUUCAAAAUUUGGGUUUGCAACAAAAUAUUGUCAAAGGUGCAACGAGUCUAUGGGACAUGGUGUCGCCCGCAUGAGAAGGGCAGAGAGAAGAUCUCUCUGAAGCUGGAGCAGAGUGCAGACUAGAGAUUGGAGAUAAAUUUUACGGAGCCUGAUUCUCCAGCAGAGUAAAGGGAUCUCAAAGUUGGAGUCACAGCUGCACCUACUUUAAGGCCCCUUUAUGCUGCCAGAGUGGUGGAAAGGGGCCUGGGUGAAGGAGAAUUCAAGCUUGUAAGCAACUGAAUAGAAUUAAUUGGACAGCCAUACUCCUAACAGAGUUAUCCAGUGGCAAUCAGAUACCAUUGCAUAUGGGAAUAGGUAUAAAUUGGGUUGAAUGAAGUACUGAGUGGCGAUAAGCCAACAGGAAAAUCUUGGAUCCUACCACCCCUUCACUUUGCUGGAGGGGUCGGAGGUUGGCUCUGAAUGCAAAUUUCAUAUUUGGGUCCUAUUUCUAUAGUGGGCGAAAGCCAAACACGAGGGGCCUGGUUCUCCGCUGGGCCGCUUCUCAUGUAAUCACUGGCACUGCUGCAAUGUGAGUGUAAAACACUGCUGUUUCAUCUGGUAGAGAAUCACACGCAUAUUGCACUGACGUCAAUGAGCGAACAAGGGGCCGGGCAGCUGCGAAUCUGGGAGAGCAAAAUCCAGAGCAGUGUUGCGGUCUGAGCCCACCUCUGGGCUUAGGCAGCGAAGCACAUGGGGCCAAAUCCUCCACUGGUGUAAACUGGAGUCAGUGGAGCCAUGCUGAGGCUGUCAGCAUUGGGGGGGGGGGAGGGGGCUGUGCUAAAUGAUUUCUCUCCAAACUCAGCAUUACUACGACCACUCGUUCCUUCGAACUUAGCCCAAAUUUCCUCCAUAGGACAUAUUUUGUCAGCAACAAAUCAUCCGGUUUUCUGAAAUUUUGCACACCAAGGCUAAUCCCCCACCCCACCCUCAGUUAUACAACCAUAAAGCAAUAUUACUACCCAGAAGCUCACGUGGGGCUAUAAUUGAGGGCAACAUUUGGUCUAAACUAGAGCCGGUUGAAAAACAACAACAACCCAAGAGCGCCUGUGUUUCGCAGGAGGAAGCAAAGAAAAUUGUCUUAACUUCCGCACUGCUGAAAAAUCUCAUCCAUCCGAAUCAACAAACAUAUUUUUUAUUUAAAAAAAAGUUCCUUUUUUGGGGCCAGAAAAUUCCGUUGAAAUUUUGAAAACUGAACGUUGACUGGCUUAACCAAAACCAAAACCCAACCUCCCAAAUUUCAACAGCAAUUUGAAACGUUUUGACCAGCUCUAGGAUAAACAUUGUAAAACUUUGAAUAACCACGCGGACGGGUAAUCUAGAGAGAAAUAUUUAUUUCUUUUAGUGGCUCUCUUAAGAGAGAUUGCAGGAAAAGAAUAUAUAUAUAAAUAUAUAUAUGGCUACACGGGAGUUCUUAAACUCCUUUUUUUGGUAAAUGCCAAUUCCCUACAUUGCUUAACUAUCCCUACUAGCGACAAGGUUUCUAGCGAACGUUUACACAGUUUUGUAACCUGAUGGAGUCAAAGAAUUGUUUUCAGUUUGCUAAAAGGUUUCUUCCCAUGCCUAUUGUUCCAUGCCAUUCCCCAUUUCAUCGUGAUGUCGUCCUCUCUUCCCGGUUCAUUCCUCCAAACGUUGGGUAGGAUUUUGAGAGAUCCCGGCCUUUGAAAGCAUCUGAAAUAUAUUCUUCGUUGGCCUACAAUUCUGUUUGCCCAAUAAAAUCAUCGGGGGUGGGGGGAGAGCAAUGGAGGGAGCUGCCUGAUUCCCUCGUGGUCUGUCCGGUUGUCAGCCUUUGCUUCACGUUUGGGUUGGUGUACGACUGUUCGACCACAUGGCUUGGUGGCAGUGGGAGUGAGGAGAGGCUGGCAGAGAGAUGGCGGAAAGGCAGAUUUUGUGCUGGUCAAGACAGGGCUGUGGGAGCCAGGUGCACCUGGCACUUGAGUGGUGGCCGGGUGGCUGCCUCCUGCCCUACACCAAGGACUGCCUCAGUUGUGAAGGGGGAACAGCUCACUGGCAAAAUGGCUACCCUGCACUCGAGUUUAGGUUCCCCAGUCGGAUUAAAGGAGGCCUCCUUCACAGGAAUAAACUUAAAUACUCGCCCGCCGGCCUCCUCUAUACAAGGCUGACGCAAGAUGAGCCAGUGUAGUGACCCGGGACCUUUAGCACCAAAAGCCUAGGCCUCUAUCGCUUGAGCAAAAGGAGUAUCUCCCUUAGCUGGUAGCAAUAGCAAGUUCUUAUCCUCUGUGCGGACCAGCCACUAGAGGGGGACAUGGCCGCCUCAUCCCUUGAUAGCAGGAGCCAGCGUGCAGCAAGCCCUGCUCUGCUCUGUUGGGGGAAGCUAAGGCUGAAUGGAGUUCCCCAUGGUAGAUGACAGGAGAGUAAAUCAACAGGCUUACUCCCAUGAGGAAAGUGAGCCGGGUUGGGCGCAGAGCCAUUCAGAGGGUGCUGAGGUGGGGGGACGACUCAUCUCUACUGUUCUAAAAGGCCAGACUGAAGCUUCGAAUCAAGAUGGCGUCUCCCCAUGCUAGGACACAGCCCUUGGGGGGCAAAGAGCGAAGGCAGUUUGGGAAUGCCCCCCUGCAGCCGUAAUAAGAGCCUGACUAGCUGUGCGAGGAGAGAGAAGAGUGCUUGAUCCUGCAUUCCCCCCACACCCCAAAGCUGCCCCUGGGGGGCGCUGGGAAAGCAGGAUGGGGUCAGAUCUGGCCAGCUUGCCUUGGUAAGUGGGAGCUGGGCAAGGAAUAACCCUGUCCUGGCACCACAGAUAUCCGAGAGCCUAGAAAAUAACAUUGCCCUCCUCUCUCUUACGUCUUAGCAUAAGCAACAACCUCAGCUGGGGUAAAUCAGUGGUGCUUCAUUGAUGAAGCCAAUUUUACACCUGUUGAGAGCGAGGCCCUGUAUUUUCUUCCUUUCUCACCUGUUUCCAUCCUUUCCCCCCCCCUUCACUCUCCCUCCAUCCCUCUGUUAAAAACCCCCACCCAUUAAUUGAGUGUUACGUUCUCACUACCUCCGUCAUCCCUCCUUCCGUCUGAAAACCAGAAGCCAUGAACCGUUUGUAGAAGAGGGCCUUUCCCCGGGCUUUUCUUUCUUCUGGAGCUCCCGUCUCCCGGUCUUUCUUCCCUUCUCUCUGAUCUUUAUCUUGUAGUAUUUUACCUGGCUCCUGUCCUUGUAAAUAGCAAGUUUCAAUAUGUUAGCAAUGGUAACAGUACAGGAAACUGUUUUUUUGUUGUAUUGAUAUGAAAUGAGAUUAUAUUUUUGUCAGAGUAUAUUGUAAUAAUACUGACUUUGAACAUGGCCGCAAUUGUACAGAUUAUUCUUGUUUUACCCUCUCUUGACCUGUCCUCCUUCCUUUCCUGUAUCCACAGACCUGCUCCCUCUUCCCCGCCCUUCCCCUGUUUGUUCUAUAUUGCAGAAUUUAAACCCAUCCAGGCGACAUGCCAGGGUGGAUAGAGGGCCGGGAGUUGGUGAUGGAUUGAGCAAAGAGAGAGCUUGCCACAGAGCCCAGAAUGAUGAUACUUUGUAGAGAAGUCCUGAAAGUCCCAGGGACUGAUUCACCCACCCCUUUGCACGUUACACCAGUGCGAAGUCAGGGUGUAAAGUGUUAGCUUUGCACGGGUGUCAGUGACAAGGCCAGUUGUGUGUUAUAGCUCUCCGGGCUGGGUUGUCUGAGGAAUGAACCUGAGACCUUGGGAUCUGAAAGCAGGAGUGUCUUACUCCUGGUUGAGCUAGUCUGUGCGCAGUAAAACUCAUACACAGCUUUAGCCGCUACAGGGGACAGCAUCACGCUGCAUCAGCACAGGUUAAAGACAGUGAGGAAUCAGGACUGUAUUUCCCAGUGGCUUUAGCAGGUAGCAAGAGGUCCUCAGAUAGAGUAUUCAGAGCUCUGUGGAAGACAACAGGGCAACGCUGAUUGAUGCCAGCUGAGCGUCUGGCCUGCUUCUUAAUUCUGUGGUUUCUGAUGGAGUUGUCCCCCUGCUAGUCUGGAAAUGGCCCACCUACCAGAGUGACCAUCUCAGACGCUGAUUUAAGGCUAGAUUGGUGGCAUUCCAAUCCAGGUGUCCCCAUUGCUUAGUUUCAGUGUGGCGUUCUGUUCUCUGCUAGAGGUGGUUGGGCCACAGAGAGGUGAAUGGCCCUGCCACCACCUUGGCUAAGGGGCUCUUUUAACUCAAACAGAAGAGACUCCUGCAUUUAAAGCCAGAGAUGCCAGGUGUGAUCCCCACUGCAAGCAAUGAACCACUAGGAAGCAGUAUUGGCAAAGGGAGUAAAGAUCACGUCCCCGGUCGGCUUGGGUGAAUUUCCCCUCCUGCUCAGAGAGGCCAGCGUGAGCUGCUAGAAUCCCAUGGAAGCCUUCAAAAUCGGUCGGAAGUGAUGCCCACGCCUCGCGCUGGCCCCUCUGCGAGUGGGUGAGUUGUACCCCCUCCUCUGUAUUCCCCAUAAGGGACAGAGAAGCCCUCGCGUGGCGGCAGAAACAGGAAUGCUCAGACCUCAUUGCCUUGAGCCCGGUGUGGAUCGGAACUUUCCCAAAGUAUUAGGUGGGUCCGGUUCUGCCCUGUCUCUGUUUAAUAAAUCUCGCUUUGCUAGCAGAAAGGAAAUUGUGUGUGACUGUCCUGGGGAGAAACAAUCUUCCCUGCAAAGCUGGGCUGGUUCUUCUGUAUUCCCUCUACACGCUAUAGGAAGUAGGCCAGAUUCCCAGCUGGUGCAGAAAUCAAUAUGGCUCCGUUGGAGUCAAUGGGCCAGAUCUUCUGCUGCUGUAACUCAGAAUAGCGUCUGUGAAGUCAAUGGAGCUACGCUGAUUUACGCUACCUACUCCACUGGGCCUCAUUUACCCGGAGGCCCCUUUACGCCGUUCUGGCUGGGUAAAAGUGCCGACUUGGCUUUAUUGUCCCAUUCGAAUACUGCUCUCCGCUCCUUUCACUUCAGUCUCUCCAGCAGAGAAAACAAAUCUGAGAGCAAGCCCACAACGACUGAGUGGGAUCAAAGGUAGGGAAAGUGAUCUGCCAGCCCCUUGUCUACAGGCCUGUUCUCACUUACCCUAACACCUGCACUACUCACAGAUUUUGUCCCAGUAUAACGAUAUCAGCUGGGGGAGGGGGGGAGAUGAAUAGUUUCCUGAUAUAGUUAUUCCAGUAUAACCCCUAGUGUGUAUGCAGUUAAACCGGUAUAAAGGUUCCUUGUAGUGGGUUGUGUAUUCCCCUUCCCAUAUGGGAAUAGCUAUACCAAUAUAAACCCCUUAAUGCCAGCAUAAUUGCAUCCACACUUGGGAGGGAUUUCUCUCUUUAACUCUAUUGGUAUAAAGUGGAACAGCUUUUGUGUGCCUUAAACCUCUUUCACACAACUGUGGCAGCAGAAAGGAGGUCGUAGUGGGUAUAAAUUUGUGCCCACUUUAGGGUCCCUUUACCCAGCCAGAAUUAUGUAAAAUUGUAAAUGAGAAUCUAGACCAGAUUCUCCUUAGGAAGGACAAACCAGAAAGCACACUUUCUGGCCAUGCUUGGGGCAGUUGCUCGUUGUUUCAGCUCAGCCCAAGACCUCUUUCUCCCCCCCCCCCCAUGUUUCAGAAUAGCUUGCGGUUACUGGCAAGAUGUUAAAAAUUCUCAGGAUUGUGGCCGCUCUGUGGUUGGUGACCACGCACGCCUAUCUCGGAUCUCCUCUGGGUGAUGUUAACAUCAGGUCCUCUUUCCCUCCAGCUCCCCACCCUCCUCGCUCCCUGUAAAUCAGAUCGAUCGGGAUAGAUGUAGUGUUCUCUGGGCUAUGUGCAAAAACCUUUGUAAAAUAGAAUAAACCCUUUAAAUUAUGCACUAAAGAAACAAAGCAAAACCCCAACAUAUAUAUAUUGUGGUUAGUCGAAUUGCCUACAAGUUCAGCCCGCCUAUAUUGUCACCGGCAGCUUUCAUUUUCCCGCCCGUGAUGGUGCAGCAAAUGUACAAAAAAAAUGUGCACUUCCCUUUCUUAGUUUUAUUUAUUGUUUAGAAAGGCAAUUUUAAAAAGCUAUACUCUGUAUCUAUAAGUAUACAUAUAUAUAUAUAUAUAUUUUUAACCUCUUCCUUCCCACGCCCCACAUACCCCCCCCCCAAUGCUCCCUCCCCUUUUUUGUGUGUGAAUUAAGGGAUUCUGUUCUCUUGAGUGGCAGCAGAUCAGUUUAAAACAAAAAAAAAAUCCAUGCUCUUCGUGUAGGAGAGAUAUGGGGGGAAGGGUAAUUUUUCUGGGGUGUUGCCCCUCUUUGAUACAUCUGGAUCGUUGGGAUACUAUCGAUCUAUUGAAAGCAAGAAAGUAGUAGAGAAGUGGAUACAUGCGAGUAACUUGUAAAUUUCCAUCCAGGAUCUUUGGCUAGGUCCAUCUUUCUCUAGGCAUUUGCAUCCCUGGGGUCUGGCCUUCUAUAUUAAUCUCCCAGCCCCUGGGAGCUCUUUCUUGGUACAUCCUUGCUUUCUUAUCCCCAGUCCUGUCCCUUCCCACCCCCACCCAUCCCACCCCACCCCCCUUGACAAUCAGUGGCUCCUUCCCAGGGACGGCAGCACGUCAGUGAGAUGUCCGUUUUGUUUUUUCAAUAUUCCUUUCUUUGUGCUGUAUGGUGAUGCGUUAUUGUAUAUUACACGAUAAGAAAAAGAGAUAAAAAAAAUUACCAUGAAAAAUUCUGAUGAGUUUUGUUUGGAAACUCUUUCACUAUAUUUGUUGUAAAGAGGUUUACUAUUAAAAAGAAAAAAAAUA